CGCCGGUCCUCUCGCGACGGCGAACCGUGAACCCCGUCAGGCCCGGAAGGGAGCAGCGGUAACGGAGAUGCCGGGCGCCGGGAUGUGGCUGGCGCGG
rnacentral:SRP_RNA from 1 species